rnacentral:misc_RNA from 1 species
GAUGAAGAACGUAGCAAAAUGCGAUAAGUAAUGUGAAUUGCAGAAUUCAGUGAAUCAUCGAAUCUUUGAACGCACAUUGCGCCCGCCAGUAUUCUGGCGGGCAUGCCUGUUCGAGCGUCAUUUCAACCCUCAAGCACAGCUUGGUGUUGGGACUCGCGUUAAUUCGCGUUCCCCAAAUUGAUUGGCGGUCACGUCGAGCUUCCAUAGCGUAGUAGUAAAACCCUCGUUACUGGUAAUCGUCGCGGCCACGCCGUUAAACCCCAACUUCUGAAUGUUGACCUCGGAUCAGGUAGGAAUACCCGCUAAACUUAAGCAUAUCAAUAAGCGGAGGA